UUAAGCGACUAAGCGUACACGGUGGAUGCCCUGGCAGUCAGAGGCGAUGAAGGACGUGCUAAUCUGCGAUAAGCGUCGGUAAGGUGAUAUGAACCGUUAUAACCGGCGAUUUCCGAAUGGGGAAACCCAGUGUGAUUCGUCACACUAUCAUUAACUGAAUCCAUAGGUUAAUGAGGCGAACCGGGGGAACUGAAACAUCUAAGUACCCCGAGGAAAAGAAAUCAACCGAGAUUCCCCCAGUAGCGGCGAGCGAACGGGGAGCAGCCCAGAGCCUGAAUCAGUGUGUGUGUUAGUGGAAGCGUCUGGAAAGGCGCGCGAUACAGGGUGACAGCCCCGUACACAAAAAUGCACAUGCUGUGAGCUCGAUGAGUAGGGCGGGACACGUGGUAUCCUGUCUGAAUAUGGGGGGACCAUCCUCCAAGGCUAAAUACUCCUGACUGACCGAUAGUGAACCAGUACCGUGAGGGAAAGGCGAAAAGAACCCCGGCGAGGGGAGUGAAAAAGAACCUGAAACCGUGUACGUACAAGCAGUGGGAGCACGCUUAGGCGUGUGACUGCGUACCUUUUGUAUAAUGGGUCAGCGACUUAUAUUCUGUAGCAAGGUUAACCGAAUAGGGGAGCCGAAGGGAAACCGAGUCUUAACUGGGCGUUAAGUUGCAGGGUAUAGACCCGAAACCCGGUGAUCUAGCCAUGGGCAGGUUGAAGGUUGGGUAACACUAACUGGAGGACCGAACCGACUAAUGUUGAAAAAUUAGCGGAUGACUUGUGGCUGGGGGUGAAAGGCCAAUCAAACCGGGAGAUAGCUGGUUCUCCCCGAAAGCUAUUUAGGUAGCGCCUCGUGAAUUCAUCUCCGGGGGUAGAGCACUGUUUCGGCAAGGGGGUCAUCCCGACUUACCAACCCGAUGCAAACUGCGAAUACCGGAGAAUGUUAUCACGGGAGACACACGGCGGGUGCUAACGUCCGUCGUGAAGAGGGAAACAACCCAGACCGCCAGCUAAGGUCCCAAAGUCAUGGUUAAGUGGGAAACGAUGUGGGAAGGCCCAGACAGCCAGGAUGUUGGCUUAGAAGCAGCCAUCAUUUAAAGAAAGCGUAAUAGCUCACUGGUCGAGUCGGCCUGCGCGGAAGAUGUAACGGGGCUAAACCAUGCACCGAAGCUGCGGCAGCGACGCUGAUGCGUUGUUGGGUAGGGGAGCGUUCUGUAAGCCUGCGAAGGUGUGCUGUGAGGCAUGCUGGAGGUAUCAGAAGUGCGAAUGCUGACAUAAGUAACGAUAAAGCGGGUGAAAAGCCCGCUCGCCGGAAGACCAAGGGUUCCUGUCCAACGUUAAUCGGGGCAGGGUGAGUCGACCCCUAAGGCGAGGCCGAAAGGCGUAGUCGAUGGGAAACAGGUUAAUAUUCCUGUACUUGGUGUUACUGCGAAGGGGGGACGGAGAAGGCUAUGUUGGCCGGGCGACGGUUGUCCCGGUUUAAGCGUGUAGGCUGGUUUUCCAGGCAAAUCCGGAAAAUCAAGGCUGAGGCGUGAUGACGAGGCACUACGGUGCUGAAGCAACAAAUGCCCUGCUUCCAGGAAAAGCCUCUAAGCAUCAGGUAACAUCAAAUCGUACCCCAAACCGACACAGGUGGUCAGGUAGAGAAUACCAAGGCGCUUGAGAGAACUCGGGUGAAGGAACUAGGCAAAAUGGUGCCGUAACUUCGGGAGAAGGCACGCUGAUAUGUAGGUGAAGUCCCUCGCGGAUGGAGCUGAAAUCAGUCGAAGAUACCAGCUGGCUGCAACUGUUUAUUAAAAACACAGCACUGUGCAAACACGAAAGUGGACGUAUACGGUGUGACGCCUGCCCGGUGCCGGAAGGUUAAUUGAUGGGGUUAGCGGUAACGCGAAGCUCUUGAUCGAAGCCCCGGUAAACGGCGGCCGUAACUAUAACGGUCCUAAGGUAGCGAAAUUCCUUGUCGGGUAAGUUCCGACCUGCACGAAUGGCGUAAUGAUGGCCAGGCUGUCUCCACCCGAGACUCAGUGAAAUUGAACUCGCUGUGAAGAUGCAGUGUACCCGCGGCAAGACGGAAAGACCCCGUGAACCUUUACUAUAGCUUGACACUGAACAUUGAGCCUUGAUGUGUAGGAUAGGUGGGAGGCUUUGAAGUGUGGACGCCAGUCUGCAUGGAGCCGACCUUGAAAUACCACCCUUUAAUGUUUGAUGUUCUAACGUUGACCCGUAAUCCGGGUUGCGGACAGUGUCUGGUGGGUAGUUUGACUGGGGCGGUCUCCUCCUAAAGAGUAACGGAGGAGCACGAAGGUUGGCUAAUCCUGGUCGGACAUCAGGAGGUUAGUGCAAUGGCAUAAGCCAGCUUGACUGCGAGCGUGACGGCGCGAGCAGGUGCGAAAGCAGGUCAUAGUGAUCCGGUGGUUCUGAAUGGAAGGGCCAUCGCUCAACGGAUAAAAGGUACUCCGGGGAUAACAGGCUGAUACCGCCCAAGAGUUCAUAUCGACGGCGGUGUUUGGCACCUCGAUGUCGGCUCAUCACAUCCUGGGGCUGAAGUAGGUCCCAAGGGUAUGGCUGUUCGCCAUUUAAAGUGGUACGCGAGCUGGGUUUAGAACGUCGUGAGACAGUUCGGUCCCUAUCUGCCGUGGGCGCUGGAGAACUGAGGGGGGCUGCUCCUAGUACGAGAGGACCGGAGUGGACGCAUCACUGGUGUUCGGGUUGUCAUGCCAAUGGCACUGCCCGGUAGCUAAAUGCGGAAGAGAUAAGUGCUGAAAGCAUCUAAGCACGAAACUUGCCCCGAGAUGAGUUCUCCCUGACCCUUUAAGGGUCCUGAAGGAACGUUGAAGACGACGACGUUGAUAGGCCGGGUGUGUAAGCGCAGCGAUGCGUUGAGCUAACCGGUACUAAUGAACCGUGAGGCUUAACCUU
rnacentral:rRNA from 1 species